CCUACGGGAGGCAGCAGUGAGGAAUAUUGGUCAAUGGCCGGGAGCCUGAACCAGCCAAGUCGCGUGAAGGAUGACUGCCCUACGGGUUGUAAACUUCUUUUGUCAGGGAACAAAGUGAGGGACGUGUGCCUCUUUGAGUGUACCUGAUGAAAAAGCAUCGGCUAACUCCGUGCCAGCAGCCGCGGUAAUACGGAGGAUGCGAGCGUUAACCGGAUUUAUUGGGUGUAAAGGGCGCGUAGGCGGGAUGUUAAGUCAGUUGUGAAAGCUUGCGGCUCAACCGUAGAACUGCAAUUGAAACUGGCAGUCUUGAGUAGAGGUGAGGUAGGUGGAAUUCGUGGUGUAGCGGUGAAAUGCGUAGAGAUCGCGAAGAACGCCGAUUGCGAAGGCAGCUUGCUAGACCGUAACUGACGCUGAUGCGCGAAAGCGUGGGUAGCAAACAGGAUUAGAUACCCGAGUAGUC
rnacentral:rRNA from 1 species